rnacentral:rRNA from 1 species
UACGUAGAGUGCAAGCGUUGUCCGGAAUUAUUGGGCGUAAAGGGUGCGUAGGCGGUCUGACAAGUCUGAUGUGAAAUCUAUGGGCUCAACCCAUAGUCUGCAUCGGAAACUGUCGGGCUUGAGUAUGGGAGAGGUGAGUGGAAUUUCCGGUGUAGCGGUGAAAUGCGUAGAUAUCGGAAGGAACACCUGUGGCGAAAGCGGCUCACUGGACCAUUACUGACGCUGAGGCACGAAAGCUAGGGGAGCAAACAGG